CACACACUGAACACACACUGAUCACACACUGAACACAGUGACGCUGCAGCUGCUGUUGUGACUCCUCGCCUGUCGGUGGCGCCAGAGGUUGUUCCGCUGUGUUGUUGUGAUUCCUUCAGCUUCCUGUUUCCUGUGUUCUCUUGUCAGGUGUGUUCCAUCCGUCGUCUCUGGGAAGCCUGCGCUGCCCUUCACAUUAAAACCCACUGGGUCAAAGCAGCACCGUUCUCUCGUCCACACGUGGACGGGUUGUGGCUCAUCAACAGAAUUCUACACAAUGAAACAAUGUGUGCGGGUCCUCAGCGCUCGUCAUUCUGCUCCCAUCCCCCAGAGACGUGCGGUCGGUUAAUUGGUUGUCUGUCUCCUGUGAUGGCAGCCUCUCCUGCACCCCCCCCAACCACACACACACCAUCACCACCACCUAAUGACAGCUGGGAUUGGCUCUCGUUUGUUAACUCCUCCAAAAUGGAUGCUCCUGAACAGGAGCAUCCAGCCGCUGGCUCCGCUUGAGCUGCAGGGAACCUGAUCCCAGAUCAGACGGCAAACAUCCCUUCCAUGUAGUGUGUGUCUGUUUGAGUCCUAAAUGAGAAGGCGUCUCACAAGAAUCUGUGUAUUUAUACAUUCGUCCUUUGAACACAUUUUGUAUGUUUUGAAGCGUUUUCUUGGCUUCUAUGACCCAAACACCAACACGUGUGUUGGUGAAGAAUGUGUACUAUUAAAA
rnacentral:lncRNA from 1 species